ACAAAUGCCACGAAAGGAAGAGUAGGUAGCGGAUUCGCUUAAAGAGAGCCCGGUAAGGUGGAAGCGGGCAGUGAGAGAAACUACUGAACAUGGCCCUGGAGCAGCAAUGGUGAAACAGAUGGGAUAUAUUCCAUUUCUGGAAGUAGCUAUUGACGGUUGCACCCGUUACAGCGCAAAUGAGAUAUAAAGAUACAACAUCUUUAUAUGAAGUAAAGUGGUACCACGAAGUUUGAACUCUCGUCUUUGCA
rnacentral:ncRNA from 1 species